GAUAGAGAAACGCCGUGUGAGUGACGAAGAUGGGGGGAUCCUAAAACUCCCUUGUUAAUGAAGAACAAGUGAUAGAGUAACCGGGGACAUUAUCCCGGUAUGUAACCAGAAAUUCGAGGCUAAAUGUGUGUCACCAGCCGCAAAAACACGUAUGUCACAAGCGUUGUCUCCAUUAUUUGGGCGUAUAGCGAGCGCACACGGUUUUGCAAGUUUGUUGUGAAAGCCCUAAGCUCAAAUGUUGAAGUGCAGUUGAAACUACAAAACUUGAGUACUGAAGAGGAAAGUGGAAAUCCAUCUGUAGCGGUGAAAUGCGCAAAUAAAUGGAAGAACACCAGUGGCGAAGGCGGCUUUCUGGUCUGUUACUGACGUUGAGGCUCGAAAGCAUGGGUAGCAAACAGGAUUAGAUACCCUGGUAGUCCAUGCCGUAAACGAUGAAUACUAGGUGUGGAGGGUUUUCGGCCAUCAGUGCCGCAGCUAACGCAUUAAGUUCCCGCACGGUGAUACGACC
rnacentral:rRNA from 1 species